UACGAAGGGGGGCUAGCGUUGUUCGGAGUUACUGGGCGUAAAGGGUGUGUAGGCGGUUGUUUUAAGUUUGGUGUGAAAUCUCCCGGCUCAACUGGGAGGGUGCGCCGAAUACUGAAUGACUUCGAGUGCGGGAGAGGAAAGUGGAAUUCCUGGUGUAGCGGUGAAAUGCGUAGAUAUCAGGAGGAACACCGGUGGUGUAGACGGCUUUCUGGACCGUAACUGACGCUGAGACACGAAAGCGUGGGUAGCAAACAGG
rnacentral:rRNA from 1 species